rnacentral:misc_RNA from 1 species
GGGACGUUAAACCAACAACCCAAGGGUGCCUCGGAAUGCUUGGUGCGCGACGGGGGCGGAUCUUACUUGCCGCUCACUGGGGCUUCCGCCCCGUCCCGUCGCGGCGGACGCGGUUGGUGCGCGAUGGGGGCGGAUCUUACUUGCCGCUCAAUGGGGCUUCCGCCCCGUCCCGUCGUAGUCGUCGGCCGCGGGGGGUGCGCGAUGGGGGCGGAUCUUACUUGCCGCUCACUGGGGCUUCCGCCCCGUCCCAUCGUCGCCUCCUUUYCGGGGCGCCCUAUUCCAAUUUUUUACUCUGUAGAGAAAACUUGGGCCGGGAGUUCCGGCAAAGAGGGCGGGA